UACGAAGGGGCUAGCGUUGCUCGGAAUCACUGGGCGUAAAGCGCACGUAGGCGGAUUGCUAAGUCAGGGGUGAAAUCCUGGAGCUCAACUCCAGAACUGCCUUUGAUAACUGGUGAUCUUGAGGUCCGGGAGAGGUGAGUGGAACUGCGAGUGUAGAGGUGAAAUUCGUAGAUAUUCGCAAGAACACCAGUGGCGAAGGCGGCUCACUGGCCCGGUACUGACGCUGAGGUGGCGAAAGCGUGG
rnacentral:rRNA from 1 species